CAGUAGCCGCGGUAAUACGAAGGGGGCUAGCGUUGUUCGGAAUUACUGGGCGUAAAGCGCACGUAGGCGGAUAUUUAAGUCAGGGGUGAAAUCCCGCAGCUCAACUGCGGAACUGCCUUUGAUACUGGGUAUCUUGAGUAUGGAAGAGGUUAGUGGAAUUGCGAGUGUAGAGAUGAAAUUCGUAGAUAUUCGCAGGAACACCAGUGGCGAAGGCGGCUAACUGGUCCAUAACUGACGCUGAGGUGCGAAAGCGUGGGGAGCAAACAGGAUUAGAUACCCCCGUAGUCCCUGUCUCUUAUAC
rnacentral:rRNA from 1 species